rnacentral:piRNA from 1 species
UGAACAUUUGAAACCUCAAAGCCUAGCCGCAG